CUAAUACAGAUUUACCAUAUGGAGGAUCAGUCAUUUCAAACACUUCCAGGAGAUAAGCUACGAGCGGGUGACACCGUGAUAUGAUUAUAAUGAAAAGCACGCACGAGAUUAAGAUACGUUCACGAGAAGUGCGCGCUUUGCGUGAGCAUGAACAGUACCAGCUGACGACAAUGAAGUGACGAUAUCCACGAAGUGGCUAGUAGUAGUUGGAUGCGUAGAGCUGAAGAUCGAGCUCAAUGGCGUAGCAUUGGAGAGGCCAUGUCUAGCAGUGGACUAGAACAGGCUAUUGUUGAUGAUGAGCAGUACAUUUGCCACAUACGCACGCAUCGUAACAUAGAGCACCAGUAUGGAGAGGCACAUUUCAAACAUUACGACAUGAAAGAAUCUCGCAAAUGAGGACUGUGAAAACGAGCCGUCAGUCUCUUGAUACAACGACUGUGGCACCUGGCUACUGUAGAAUUACACGCUGGACAUAACCACGUUGACACGAAGGACAUCUUUCGUUUUCUUAAACGUCUGGUAACGAGAGUUACAGUAUUGGACAGGAGUGCCCGGCCGUUAUCACAACUGUGGCUGAAAAUCCUACCACAAAAUAUUCAAGACUGGAAAAUACAUCAGAAAAGCCAAGAAAAACUGAGGACAGUGAAUCAAUUAAAUUGGGACAUUGCCGAGGGCUGGUAGCGGAGGUCAUCAGCACUCCACGAGACUAUGAUUCACCAGCACUGGACUAUUUAGAUAAUUGAAGGAGCCAUCACGUUUCCACAAACCUUAACUAAUAAAAUGUAUUUUUAAUAUAA